UUGAGCUAAACAACAGCAGCACGUUUAAGCUUGAUCAGCUGUUGUUAGAAUUUAUUUAAUGUUACUUUCUAGUAUCAGCUGAUGUUUGCUGGAGGGAACCAUGAAGAUGAAACAAGGGGAUGUCCUUACUGAAUCAUCAGAGCUGAACAGGUGAUGGAGAAACAGGUUUACCUUUUAGGUGACAUGAAUGAGGUGAAGGGACGUUAUGAACUGUUUCUGAGAGACAAAUAACACCAGGAUCCUUUCUACGUAGCAGACAGCUGGUAACUGUGCAGGGGCGGGUCUAGCUGUCAGGAUCUGGAGACUCGACUGGAAAGUUCUAUCAGGCACCUGAGUUCCUUGGUCUCCACCCCUGGGCGGAGCCAUCAUCCCUGCUGCAGUCCUGCACACCUGAGACUGAUUCGGGGCAAUCAGGUUGAGGAUUUAAGCACCCCUCAGACUCUCCUUCACUGCCAGUUCGUCAACGACCUCACAUCUCCUGGACCUCCUUUGUCAUCACCCUCAACCUCAGCUCUCCUCGGAUUAUCUUCAUAUUCAGGAAGAAUACAAGGACCCUCACCUGCCUGCCCUCCAGCCUCACUCACCACCUCGGACACAGCGGAACUCAGGUCUGCCAGCCUUUUCCACUAUUCCCCUGGACUAUCACCGCCUCUCCCUCAAAGUGAGGUUCAUGCCGGUCACCAACGCAACCGCUCCAUCCCCGUCGCAACCUGCUAAAUCCCCGUUCACCCCCACUGACCCACGGCAACAUAGUUAGCAACACCUUGUCACGAAUUCACUUGUGGACUAAAUAAUAAACACUGUAAAACGUUUGAGCCGUCUCUGUUUGUGGUUUUCUGCAAUUGAGUCCAAUUUAGCUAUCAGCCCGUGGCCAAUGUGACACUAGCAAAGUUUUGCCAGA